rnacentral:misc_RNA from 1 species
UCGAGUUUACAACUCCCAAACCCCUGUGAACAUACCUAUACGUUGCCUCGGCGGAUCAGCCCGCGCCCCGUAAAAAGGGACGGCCCGCCCGAGGACCCCUAAACUCUGUUUUUAGUGGAACUUCUGAGUAAAACAAACAAAUAAAUCA